GACGAACGCUGGCGGCGUGCUUAACACAUGCAAGUCGAACGGUGAAGCUCCAGCUUGCUGGAGUGGAUCAGUGGCGAACGGGUGAGUAACACGUGAGCAACCUGCCCCUGACUCUGGAAUAAGCGCUGGAAACGGCGUCUAAUACUGGAUACGAGAAGGGUCCGCAUGGGCACUUUCUGGAAAGUUUUUCGGUUGGGGAUGGUCUCGCGGCCUAUCAGCUUGUUGGUGAGGUAAUGGCUCACCAAGGCGACGACGGGUAGCCGGCCUGAGAGGGCGACCGGGCACACUGGGACUGAGACACGGCCCAGACUCCUACGGGAGGCAGCAGUGGGGAAUAUUGCACAAUGGGCGAAAGCCUGAUGCAGCGACGCCGCGUGAGGGAUGACGGCCUUCGGGUUGUAAACCUCUGUCAGCAGGGAAGAAGCGAAAGUGACGGUACCUGCAGAAGAAGCACCGGCUAACUACGUG
rnacentral:rRNA from 1 species